rnacentral:rRNA from 1 species
GGAAUAUUGGACAAUGGGCGCAAGCCUGAUCCAGCAACGCCGCGUGGAGGAUGAAGGUCUUCGGAUCGUAAACUCCUGUCAGACGGGACGAAGAUCUGCGGGUGCACAGCCUGCAGGUUUGACGGUACUGUCAGAGGAAGCCCCGGCUAACUCCGUGCCAGCAGCCGCGGUAAUACGGAGGGGGCGAGCGUGAUUCGGAAUUAGUGGGCGUAAAGGGCGCGUAGGCGGUUCGACAAGUCAAAGGUGAAAUCCCUCGGCUCAACUGAGGAACUGCCUUUGAAACUGUCGAGCUUGAGUCCGGGAGGGGGUAGCGGAAUUCCCAGUGUAGCGGUGAAAUGCGUAGAUAUUGGGAGGAACACCGGUGGCGAAGGCGGCUACCUGGACCGGAACUGACGCUGAUGCGCGAAAGCGUGGGUAGCAAAC